GUGCGACGUGAAAGUUGCACCACAGAAGUCCCUUGAAUCAGGGUAAGGUUGAUCCGAAACCUUAUUGUCACUUUCUCGGUGCAAGAGGAGUAAUUCUCUUGUUCUAAGCGAGAAUGAAAGCCUAACUAAAGUAUUAAGCUGAAUAAGAAAUAGGGGCUAGGCAAAAUUGAAAUGGGCUGAAUAAAGUGAAUCUCCGUGAUUAAAAUGUCGUCAGCAACGAAAACACGAAAUCAGAUGUGACGUGUUAAGGGGAAAUUUAACGACAGUUAGAAACGGGUAAAGAAGAGUGUUCGUUCUUUACAACGGAUCCCGUUCCCCGGCAUAGAGGAGGCAACCCAUUCAAUGUAUCUUCAUGGUGUGAAACACGGUAACCCCAUUAAUCUCUUCAUGUUCAUGUAAAUAUGAAAGAGACAGUGGGCAUAAGACGUUCCAAGAAGCGAAGGCUAUCAUCCGAAAGGGAACGGGAAAUCAUAACAGGAUUGAUAGAGGUAACUACCUCACUCUGAAAAGAGGCUGACGUGGAACGGGUGACUUACCCAUAGGAUCCUUUAUUAAGAUUAUGAAUUGAUUUAGAAGAGUUAGAUGUCAAUGACAAACGUAAUAAAUCAAAACCAUGAACAACUGGAAUGGCACGCCAUCAACUGGCGUGUUGUGACAACCAUGAUUAAUAAUCUAAGACAAAGGAUAUAUAGGGCUUCAGCAACAGGUGACUUAAAGAAAGUCAGAAAUUUGCAAAAACUCAUGAUGAAAUCAAGAGCUAAUCAUCUUCUGGCUAUCAGGAAAGUCACACAGAUCAAUCGGGGAAAACACACAGCUGGAGUAGAUAAUCAGGUCAUUGAUGACCAUAAAGGACGAGAACACCUUUAUAAGUUAUUAAGCCAAACAACUUCAGAAAAGAUUUAUCCAGUAAAACGGGUCUACAUAGCAAAAAGAAUAGGAAAAAGCGCCCUCUUGGGAUCCCAACUAUUCUCGAACGAUGUAAACAAGCGAUAGUUAAAUCAGCGCUGGAACCUUAUUGGGAAGCAAAAUUUGAACCAGUCAGUUACGGAUUUAGACCAGGACGAAGUGCUCAUGACGCAAUACAAAAAAUUUUCUGUAUUGCCAGGGCACGGGGGACAAGGCAUUGGGUACUGGAUGCAGAUAUUAAAAGCGCAUUUGACAACAUUGACCAUAAUUUUCUCAUAAAAACAAUCGGGGGAUUUCCCGAAAGAAACAUGAUUAAAAAAUGGCUACAAGCCGGUGUGCUGGAACAUGGCAACUAUAUACCCAGUGUUGCAGGUACUCCAUAAGGAGGGAUUAUCAGUCCACUACUGGCCAAUAUUGCACUCCACGGAAUGGAAACCUUGCUGGGUAUUCAAUACUGGAAAAAUGGCAAGCCAAAACAAGGCCAACCUUAUGCAGUAGUGCGCUAUGCGGAUGAUUUUGUUGUAUUAGGUAAAUCCCGUGAAGAAUGCGAAACAGCUAAAAUAAAGUUGCGAAGUUGGUUAGCACAGAGAGGGUUAGCCCUUUCGGAAGAAAAAACCAGUAUCAAACACCUGAAGGAAGGAUUCGACUUCUUGGGAUUUAAUAUACGACAUUAUGAAAAUCGCCACAGAAAGCGGGGAUAUGUGUUGUUAAUGAAACCGUCAAAGGAGUCGAUUAAAAGGUACAGACAGCAAAUGAGAAUGACCUGGAAAAGGAUCAUUGGCAUGCCGACAAAAGAAGGCAUAAUGCAGCUGAAUGAAAAAAUAAUAGGAUGGUGUAAUUACUAUCGUAUUGGUGCGUCAAAACAGACAUUCAGUGCAAUAGACCAAUGGAUGUGGAUUCGCCAAUGUAGAUAUCUGUAUCGACGUCAUCCCAAUAAACAUUGGUGGUGGCGAAGAAAACACUAUUUAGGCAAGAUACCAGGUAGAGAAGACUAUUCAGUAUUUAUGGAUAAAUCAAACGGUGGAUUUCUCUGGAAGCAUGCAUGGACAAAAAUACAGCGUCAUUGGCUAGUUACCAAGAAUGCUUCCCCCGAUAAUCCUGAAUUGCGUGAUUAUUGGCGUCAUAGGCAGGCACGUAAGCAGCCUUUUAUUUACGGUGUCAAAGUUAACCUCUAUAAGCGACAGAAAGGUUAUUGUCCUCUCUGUGAUCAAGAGCUGGACAAUGGUGAACAAUUACAUGUUCAUAAUAUUCAGCCCAAAGCUGAAGGGGGUGAUAACAAGCUAGCUAAUUUAAGAUUGUUACAUGCUAAUUGCCACAGACAAUUACAUAGCAAAAAAGGAAAAAUGUUGAAGUCAGUAAGUUGCGUGAGCCGUAUGCGGGGUAACUCGCACGUACGGUUCUUGAGGGAGUGGGCACUUUCGGCCUGCUUACCUAAUC
rnacentral:autocatalytically_spliced_intron from 1 species